AUUUGAUCCUCACAUCAACUGUAGGUGAUAAGUGCUGUUAUUCACUUUCUAUUUAUGAGGAAGCUGAGGUUAGGUCACAGGAAAACUAGUGUUUGGAUCAAAGCUGCCUGCACUCUUAGCUCUGUACUAUCAGUGUAUGUUAGCAGUCAUCUUUAUCAUUAGCAGUGGCAGUAUAUCUGAGAGAUACAAAAUCCUGUUGUAUUAAAGAACAUGGCAUAGAAGGGCUUUAUACAUUUCACUAUAGCUGAGGUUAGAAAUUUUACACUUGAUCUUAGCCAAAAGGCUGAGAAGCGAUGAGGUUAGAAAUUUUAUUGAGCUACUAUUGUGUCCAUUGUAAGGUAGAAUGCCUUUUAAAGUUCUCAUCCUUUCGUUUGAAGUUCCAUAGAUACCAAGGCCAUUCAACCCUAUUUGCUCAUUAAAAUCAUUUCACUAAAGUGACCAAAAGAACAGAAGUAGGGAUACAAUAACGUCUUUCUACGGAGAAUGAUUCAUAUGGAACAUUUGAUAGAUUGGUAAUUUACAAUCAUAUUUAAUGGCAGAGCUCAUGGAAUUCUCUGUGCGGGUGGGAGCUGAAUGUCCUGCCCACAGGCCUCACUAGUGCCCCCUGUCUCCUCUCUUUGUCCUGCUCCCCAGCCUGCAUACAAUCUGAAAAGUCACUGGUCUACUUCUGUCCCAGCUAGAGCUGUUUCCUAGCUCUAGCAGAGGACCUGCAGAGGAUUUCCAUGGCACAGCUUUGUGAUCCAGACAUCAUGUGGGAAAGCUAGGGAUAUGUGAUUUACCAGUCACUUUUGCUGGGCUUGUGCUUUUCAUGUUGUACAGAAUUAAUAUAACUCUAGGAAAUAUUUCUACCAUUUGCCUUCCUUUGUGAGAAGACUGGACUUCAUGGCUCUCCCCACAUACUAAUUCUGCUGUGUUGCUUUUGUGCUUUGGACUGACUCAAAAAUGGCCCCAAGAGUCCCCACCUGCUUUUCAUGCCCUUGUGAAAACUCCUUCUCCGAGUGUGGGAAACCGUGACUUGCUCCCAAACACUAGAAUUUGGCAACAGUACUGGGAUAUCACUUUCACAAAUAGAUUAAAUAAGAUUCUGGUUUCUGUAUUGCCAGUGGACUCUCCCUUGCCAGCCUUGAGGAAGGAGCUGCCAUGUUGGAGGCUACCCUAUGGAGAAGCCCAUGUAGCAAGGACAUAAGGGUGGCUGGUGGCCCAGACAGAAAGGAGCUGAGGCUCUCGGCCCAACAGCCUGAAAAGAACUGAAGUUACACCCACAAUGACAUGACUUUGGAAGCAGAUCCCUGAGUCUUCAGAUGAGACCUCAGAACUGGCCAACACCUUGAUUGAAGCCCUAAUGAGAGACCCUGAAGUAGAGGGCCCUCCUAAGCCAUGCCUGGAUCCGUGACUCAUAGGAACUGUGAGGUAAUAAAUGUGUGCUGGUUGCUAAAUUUGUGGUAAUUUGUUAUCAGCAAUAGGUAGUUAAUACAUACAUCUACA
rnacentral:lncRNA from 1 species